CCCUUAGAUGUUCUGGGCCGCACGCGUGCUACACUGAUGCAUUCAACGAGUCUAAAACCUGGUCUGAUAGGGCUGGGUAAUCUUUUGAAAGUGCAUCGUGAUUGGGAUAGAUUAUUGCAAUUAUUAAUCUUGAACGAGGAAUUCCUAGUAAACGCAGAUCAUCAAUCUGCAUUGAUUACGUCCCUGCCCUUUGUACACACCGCCCGUCGCACCUACCGAUUGGAUGGUCCGGUGAAGCCUCGGGAUUGUGGUUCUUGCCGCUUUAUUGUGGCGUGACCGCGAGAACUUGUCUAAACCUUAUCAUCUAGAGGAAGGUGAAGUCGUAACA
rnacentral:rRNA from 1 species